UUAAGUAUAGUUAAGACUUUGAUCCUUGUCUGCUAGAUGAACUUUAGAUAUUUGUAUUCGUUUUAUAUACUAUCUGAUUUUUUUUUUAAAGAUACAAAAUAAACUAAAAACACAACUUUAUACUGAUUAGACUGACACAAUAUUUGAAUAUUAUGUGUUCGAGAUUGAUUGGUUAAAAGCCUGCUAUGGUUUUUUGUUUUUUUUUUAUUGAGCAUGCAAGAUCAACAUAAUUAAUUAUAUACUCCAUAUACUAACUACCAAACUAAUCAACACUUAACAACCGUUAACCGUAUUAACUUCUGAUAGUACUUUAAAGAUGUUUAGUUUUCAGUGUGUAGAAGUGAUAUUUAUUUUCUUUUUCAUUUUUCUUUUACGUGGAAAAAUGCAGAGGGAAAAAUAAUGAAAUGAUGCAAAAGCUUACAAGAUAAGCACGAGAAAGAAAAG
rnacentral:lncRNA from 1 species